GACAGAGGGGGCGAGCGUUGUCCGGACUCACUGGGCGUAAAGCGUGCGUAGGGGGUGCGAUGCGUCGGCGCUGAAAGCGCCCGGCUUAACCGGGCGACGGGCGACGAUACGAUCGCACUGGAGGCAGGGAGACGUUGGUGGAAUUCCGGGUGUAGUGGUGAAAUGCGUAGAGAUCCGGAGGAAUGCCGGUGGCGUAAGCGGCCAACGAGUCCUGACCUGGCACUGAGGCACGAAAGCGUGGGGAGCAAACCGG
rnacentral:rRNA from 1 species